UUCCUGGAAUGAGUGAACAAAGUUAAGGACUUGCAGAGAGAGUUUUCUGCUGGAAUGUAAGAGGUUUUGAAGGCUCUCUUUUCUGCAAAGGCCAUGUAUAGCAAUUUUCCAACAAACUUUCCAGUUUAAUUCGGAACUGAACAGUGGAAUUCCAAAGCACGGCUCGAGAGGAACUCAGUCUGCUUCUGUUGUGGCACCAGAGAAGCAUCACUGAGUUUUCUAUUUGCAAGUUGGCUGGAAGCAUUCAACAUGGUGACAUAUCCACAGAGAUGUUCCUACUUGAUGUGAAGACAAAGAUGAAUACCUCCAUGAUGAGCCAUCUCCACUUAAUGACUGCCUCACGUUGGCCGGCAACUUGU
rnacentral:lncRNA from 1 species